rnacentral:rRNA from 1 species
AGAUUGAACGCUGGCGGCAGGCCUAACACAUGCAAGUCGAGCGGUAGAGAGGUGCUUGCACCUCUUGAGAGCGGCGGACGGGUGAGUAAUGCCUAGGAAUCUGCCUAGUGGUGGGGAUAACGUUCGGAAACGGACGCUAAUACCGCAUACGUCCGUACGGGAGAAAGCGGGGGACCUUCGGGCCUCGGCGCCAUUAGAUGAGCCUAGGUCGGAUUAGCUAGUUGGUGAGGUAAUGGCUCACCAAGGCGACGAUCCGUAACUGGUCUGAGAGGAUGAUCAGUCACACUGGAACUGAGACGACGGUCCAGACUCCUAACGGGAGCCAGCAGUGGGAAUAGUUGGACAAUGGGACGAAAGCCUAGAUCCAAGCCAUCGCGCGUGUGUGAAGAGUCUACGGAUUGUAAAGCUAACGUUUAGU